GGAGAGGUCGCAUAGUGGCUUAGUGCACCGGUCUCGAAAAUCGGAGUGCCUUAACGGGUACCGUGGGUUCAAAUCCCACCCUCUCCGCCA
rnacentral:tRNA from 2 species